UAGCCAUAUUUGAGAUAUCUGUAUUGUAUAC
rnacentral:piRNA from 1 species